rnacentral:tmRNA from 21 species
GGGGAUGAUCGGUUUCGACAUUGCCUGAAUGACUGCGAGAAGCGGGUCGAGGAUGCAGGGCUAUCUCGUAAACGCUCUCUGCAAAAUACAACUGCCAAUAACAAGCAGUCGUCCUUUGUUCUCGCUGCCUAAGCGAGCGCACUAACAGGACCGUCGACCCGGUGAUGCUCUCUAUCCGGUAAGUCGGCGUCAGAAAAGGGAGCUCGCUGCGCGGUCGUGCCUCAGGGCCGCGCGGGACUCGAACUGAGGCUGGGCCCGUCGGAUCAGAUGCCAGGAGCAAGUUCCGGGGCCGAGCAGGACGCCUUUCCUGGAUACACCCGUAGAAGGCGCAGGAUUACAGCAGUGGACCGGGGUUCGAUUCCCCGCAUCUCCACCA